rnacentral:rRNA from 1 species
GCCAACCAUCUAGCCCUAAUUCAACCCAUGCACCCCUCUUCCUCUCCUUACCAAUUAAAACAUUUUAACAAUUUAGUAAAGGUGAUCAAAAAAUUUUAUGGAGCCACACAAAUAGUACCGCAAGGGAAAAAUGAAAUAAAAAUGAAAUAAAUCCUUAAGCACAAAAAAGUAGAGAACCUCCUCGUACCUUUUGCAUCAUGGCUUAACUAGACAAAAUCAAGCAAAAUGAUUUUAAGUUUGAUCCCCCGAAACUUAGCGAGCUACCUCAAGGCAGCUUUAUGAGCCAACCCGUCUCUGUAGCAAAAGAGUGGGAUGACCUCCAGGUAGAGGUGACAGACCUAACGAGCUGAGUGAUAGCUGGUUACCCAAGAAAAGAAUCUUAGUUCUACCUAAAGCCUCUUAAAUACAAUAAAAUUAUACUCAGACUUUAGAGCAAUUCAAAUAAGGUACAGCCUAUUUGAAACAGGAUACAACCUGCACUAACGGGUAAUUCUUAUUACACACCAAAGUAGGCCUAAAAGCAGCCACCUUUAAAAUAGCGUCAAAGCUUACCUGUUUUCACUUGUAAUUCCAAAAUUAACUUAAACCCCUUCAAUACUAUUGGGUAAUUCUAUAACACUAUAGAAUUUUUUAUGUUAAGACUAGUAACAAGAAGCUACCCUUCUCAUAAAUGCAAACUUAAGUCAGUAAGGAUGAUCCUCUGACACUUAACACCAAUGAAUUUACAUCAACAAACUCGCAAGAAAACCCUGAUAUAUACUGCGUUAACCUGACACUAGAGCAUUUCAAUGAAAGAUUAAAAGGAAAAGAAGGAACUCGGCAAAUAUCAACCUCGCCUGUUUACCAAAAACAUCGCCUCUUGAACCACUAUAAGAGGUCCAGCCUGCCCAGUGACACCGUUCAACGGCCGCGGUAUCCUAACCGUGCGAAGGUAGCGUAAUCAUUUGUUUCCUAAAUAGGGACUUGAAUGAAUGGCUUCACGAAGGUUGCACUGUCUCCUCUCCCAAAUCAGUGAAACUAAUCUUCCCGUGAAGAAGCGGGAAUAAAAAUAUAAGACGAGAAGACCCUAUGGAGCUUUAAACUAAAUAACAACUGUUACCCAACCAUGAAAUCUCAGCAAACUUCAAUAAAGUGUACAUCAUGAUUAUUAGUUUUAGGUUGGGGCGACCACGGAGUAAAAACUAACCUCCAAGCUGAACGAGCUAAGCCCUGAGCAAAAAGCCACAACUUUACGCACCAAAAAAUUGACUACUUUGACCCAAUAUUUUGACCAACGAACCAAGUUACCCUAGGGAUAACAGCGCUAUCCACUUCAAGAGCUCCUAUCGACAAGUGGGCUUACGACCUCGAUGUUGGAUCAGGGUAUCCUGGUGGUGCAGCCGCUACCAAUGGUUCGUUUGUUCAACGAUUUAAACCCU